rnacentral:rRNA from 1 species
GUCUCAGAAGAGUAAGCCAUGCCAGUGCUCAAGUAUAAGCGAAUUAUACCGUGAAACUGCGAAUGGCUCAUUAAAUCAGUUAUCGUUUAUUUGAUAGUACCUUACUACUUGGAUAACCGUGGUAAUUCUAGAGCUAAUACAUGCUAAAAACCCCGACUUCGGGAGGGGUGUAUUUAUUAGAUAAAAAACCAAUGCCCUUCGGGGCUCUUUGGUGAUUCAUGAUAACUUAACGGAUCGCAUGGCCUUGCGCCGGCGACGGUUCAUUCAAAUUUCUGCCCUAUCAACUUUCGAUGGUAAGGUAUUGGCUUACCAUGGUUUCAACGGGUAACGGGGAAUUAGGGUUCGAUUCCGGAGAGGGAGCCUGAGAAACGGCUACCACAUCCAAGGAAGGCAGCAGGCGCGCAAAUUACCCAAUCCCGACACGGGGAGGUAGUGACAAUAAAUACUGAUACAGGGCUCUUUGGGUCUUGUAAUCGGAAUGAGUACAAUUUAAACCCCUUAACGAGGAACAAUUGGAGGGCAAGUCUGGUGCCAGCAGCCGCGGUAAUUCCAGCUCCAAUAGCGUAUAUAAAGUUGUUGCAGUUAAAAAGCUCGUAGUUGAACCUUGGGCCUGGCUGGCCGGUCCGCCUCACCGCGUGUACUGGUCCGGCGGGCCUUUCCUUCUGGAGAGCCGCAUGCCCUUCACUGGGUGUGUUGGGGAACCAGGACUUUUACUUUGAAAAAAUUAGAGUGUUCAAAGCAGGCCUUUGCUCGAAUACGUUAGCAUGGAAUAAUAGAAUAGGACGUGCGGUCCUAUUUUGUUGGUUUCUAGGACCGCCGUAAUGAUUAAUAGGGAUAGUCGGGGGCAUCAGUAUUCAAUUGUCAGAGGUGAAAUUCUUGGAUUUAUUGAAGACUAACUACUGCGAAAGCAUUUGCCAAGGAUGUUUUCAUUAAUCAGUGAACGAAAGUUAGGGGAUCGAAGACGAUCAGAUACCGUCGUAGUCUUAACCGUAAACUAUGCCGACUAGGGAUCGGGCGAUGUUUCUAUCU